GACGAACGCUGGCGGCGUGCUUAACACAUGCAAGUCGAACGGAAAGGCCCUGCUUUUGUGGGGUGCUCGAGUGGCGAACGGGUGAGUAACACGUGAGUAACCUGCCCUUGACUUUGGGAUAACUUCAGGAAACUGGGGCUAAUACCGGAUAGGAGCUCCUGCUGCAUGGUGGGGGUUGGAAAGUUUCGGCGGUUGGGGAUGGACUCGCGGCUUAUCAGCUUGUUGGUGGGGUAGUGGCUUACCAAGGCUUUGACGGGUAGCCGGCCUGAGAGGGUGACCGGCCACAUUGGGACUGAGAGACGGCCCAGACUGCUACGGGAGGCAGCAGUGGGGAAUAUUGCACAGUGGGCGGAAGCCUGAUGCAGCAACGCCGCGUGCGGGAUGACGGCCUUCGGGUGGUAAACCGCUUUCGCCGGUGACGAAGCGUGAGUGACGGUAAUGGGUAAAGAAGCACCGGCUAACUACGUG
rnacentral:rRNA from 1 species